GGCCAGUUAGCUCAGUCAGUUGAGUAUGGUGCUGACAACGUCAAGGUUACGAGUUCGAUUCCUGUUCGGUCCU
rnacentral:tRNA from 1 species